ACUUCCCUUCCCCGCCCCUCUCCGGGCAGCGCCUCCGCGCACCGCCCGCGACUCCGCUGCCUCAGGAGCAAAGGCAACUGCUGCACGUCUGUCUUUAUUCCCUCAACUUGUUCCAUCGCAGAUUUAUUUUUUUUUUAGCUGACUCUCCCUUCCUUGUUGUUUACACGAGUUUGACCACAGGCAGCCUGUGUCAGAAGUUUGGGUAGUAGUUCAUCCUUAAAUUCCUUCUCUUUUUCUUUUAUUAUCUCCCCCGAUCAUGACAAAAUCGGCUCUUAGUAACUCUGUGGAAACUCCUGGGUAAUUCACAAGGAUAAAAUUAAUUUUAAUUUCCUAACACAUUUUUCUUAUUAGCUGCACUGAUGAUGGCACCCUGGGGUUUGGCACUGCUGCUGGGCCAGGCACUGAUGUGUGUGGCAGGAGAAAGUGAAGGGUUGGCUGCGCCUGGAUAACUUCCCAUCUCGGCCUUGUACCCCAGCUGUCAAAAGGACACAGAUACACCCUGUGGAAACCACGGCCUAGUGGCAAUCCUUUAAAGGAACAGUGGAAAAGUGCAGUACUCCACCAAUGGACAGUAUGAGACCUCACAAGCUCAUUUGGCCUGACAAAGAAUGAAGGCAAAGAAAGCGACUGCUGGGUUAAACAUUAGGAUCCCUAGCACAGUUUCUGUUCAGACCCACUGUUUUGCACAGGGAAGCCCAUUGCACACAGCAACUGCUCAUCACUACCCCGUGCAAAUGAAGGACACAAUGACAUCUUGUAUGAUGUCCAAGGUUUGAGAAGACCAAGCCAGACCACCAUCCAGAAAGACCUCCCCUAGACCCUGAAAAUUCUGAAUGCCGACUAAGAUGACUAAUUUUAGAGAAAACCUCAAGAAAACCCAGAAAAAUAGAAAACUUUCAACUUAGGAGGAUGGAGUCCUUAUCCAACUGUCUAUAUAAUUCUGAACUUUAUAUUCAAUACUAUAUUUUAAUACUUAACAAUAUUAGCCCUAGAUUUCUUCACUCAUACAGCAUCUUGACAUGAUGAAUUUUUUCUCUUUUGCUGUCCUAAACCUAACAGGUUGCUUGGGUUACAUCUCUCUCCCAUUUAGCAGGUCCUAGGGUGAAAAAUGAACACUUCCUUGGGGAAUGAGAAGCAGCUUCAAGAGAUACGGUUUAAAAUGUUUGCAUGGGCAGAAGAUUAAAUAUUCUUACUGGGCCUGAUUAAUUUUCCUGUUUUCUGCUUGAUGAAAGUAUCUUUGACUUCUUUAUGUGUCAUGGCUCAGUGUUUUCAUUGCAGUUUUUAUUGCUGUUUUAAGACGAGAUUGUCACUUUUAGCCUUUCUCAAGUUGUUUCUCUCUGAAGAAAUAUUCAUGAUAAGGGCCACCGGAAUUUUCACUUUUACUCCAGUUAAGGAGGCCUUUUCUGUCUACUGAUUAAUGAAAGCCCAGCAAAAUUGCGACAAUAUAGUUAUACAUGCAUAUUGUACAAACAAUGGAGAGGACUAGAAUAUGUGGUUCAUUUUUAUUCACAUUUAGGUGAAUUUCAUAUUGCUGUAGAUGCAGAUACAUGAGGGUACAUGGGGCUUAGAAGCUUAGCAAAAGCAAAUCUGUCAGUGCUGCUUGAAAGCAUUUUAAAUAUCUGUGAUCACAAUGGUUUUGCUAUUACCACUUGGGACUGCGAGCAAAGGAAUCCUGAAGAGGCAAGAAUUGCUUUGAAGUGACAAAUAAAAAAACCCUUCAUCUGUUA